AUUUAUAAGUUGUUGCAACACUUCCUUGCAAUUCUUUCUGUGUGAUGAACAGAAGAUAACAUUCACCUCUGUUGCUUUCAGUCACAUCAUCGAAUUUCUUUAACACAAGGAGUCACAACAAAAAUUAGAUAAUGGGAGUUAGUUAUCUAGGCCCCAUUAAGAGAUAAUCGUCAUCACUGGUCGCCGGGUUGGUGUUGGCUGAUGCUGCAUCUCCGAUUGGCCUCACUGUACCUGGAACAUAUUCGUUCGACAUGGGAGGAAAAGAACAAAAAGUGAACUGUUACCGUGGUUGCGGAAUCUCCAGUCGCCACUCCAAGGCAACGGAUCUCGAAGUGACGUCAUCAGUGUAACUGGCUCGUUUCCGCUUUCAACUCGGCAUAGGAUUUCGGGUUUGACCUCUGUCGAUCCCAUUCAAAUGUUUUUUGCAAGGUGAGACCAGUGGUGACAGGGUGACAGCUUUGACUGUUCAAGUUCCGAGUUCUAUCGAAUUAGGAUCAGGAUAAAUUUCGGUUAUUUCCUUGUAGAGGAAGCAGUCGCCUAUGAGUCGUUUUAUGUAAAAAAACGUUAAAUUUGGGAAAUUCCUCUUUUUGUUACGAGGGGAACUUUCCUGAUUUGGCCAUUUGGAAGGCCUUUACCUUUCGCGGAAUAAAUGUGCAGCAAUCAAAUGGAGCAUCACCCUUUUUGUCGAUGGCCAGAAGGUUU